CUAGCUGUAAACGAUGGAUACUAGGCGUUGAGAGUAUUGACCCUCUCAGUGUCGUAGCUAACGCGUUAAGUAUCCCGCCUGGGGAGUACGCGCGCAAGCGUGAAACUCAAAGGAAUUGACGGGGGCCCGCACAAGCGGUGGAGUAUGUGGUUUAAUUCGAUGCAACGCGAAGAACCUUACCAGGGCUUGACAUGUCCGGAACCCUGCCCAAAGGCGGGGGUGCCUACGGGAACCGGAACACAGGUGGUGC
rnacentral:rRNA from 1 species